UCUAGGCCAGUUCUGACCACACUGGAUCUCCUCUGUGUUUUUUUAAUCCCAUGUCGGACCGAGCCUCUACAAGCUUUGGGCCGUCAGAAGAUGCUGAUGAGAUCUACAGCGACCAAACCAGAGGAGCAUCAUCUGAGCUGCUGACCUUUACAAAAAACCCUGUGGACGUCCAAAAGCAGAACUCCUGUGAGGAACCGGGACCUCCAGGAUGCUGAGGAGCCUCCUAGUCCCCACCUGAGGACGGCACAGAGGAACACACCUGGAGAGAAGCAGGUUGAAUAUGGAAGCAGUGAUCUAGCAGUGGGAUCUCAGUGGAGCAGAGUCCAUCCACACGUGUUUGAAGGAGCUGAAGCAGAGGAUGGAGAACACAGACCACUAAGGAGGAGAAACAUGGCUCCUCUAUUUGUCUCUCCAACAUUCUGGAGUCCUGGACUGAAAAACAUUGAAGACCCCACAACUAAACCAUCAGUCUGCUCCACCCAGAAAGAAGAUGGUCAGCUGCUCCUUGGACCGGCGCCUCUGUGUCUGUUGGACGUCUGCUGUCCUGUUAAAGACUCGCUCGGCAGCAGUAGAUGGGCGCUGACAUGGAGCCGGGUUCUUCUGGAGGAUCCUUCCUGCUUAAAGCUAGUUUUCCUCUCUACUGUCACCACUUCAUUGCUCAGGAGGAGGGACUGCUGCAUUCAUGACUGGAUGUGAUUGGCUGAGCUUCCCUGGAUUGAAUAUGUUUCUUUAAACGUUAUAAUUCACUAAAUUUAUCUUCAUCAUAUUGUAAAUAGGAUCUAACUGGAUGUUUAUAAAUUAAUUUAAUUCUGUUUGUGUUGAAUUCUGUUACAUGUUUCUGUUUUAAAGCUCUCAUGUAAAUUGCCUUGAUAUAACAUUAGCUGUGAUUUGUUUUUAUUUUAAAAGACUGAAUUAUAUCAAAUCUUGCCUAAUGAGUCUGGUUCUCUCAGGUUCUUCCUGUCAUUCUAUC